AUGGCGUCCGCUGAUAAGCUCAAGAAACUUGAAGACGAACUCAAGAACCGCGAGUCCCUCCUUCAGGCUCGCGAGGAAGAACUCCAGCGCCAAGCCGAUGAACGAGGAAAGGCCGUCCUUCCCCCUGCUGCCUCUACAUAUGCUGCCUCUGUCAAGACGUUCGUCCCCAUCACCCUCGAUCUCCAGGACUCCAACUAUGCCAAGUGGCGUGAGCUCUUUCUCGUUGCUCUCGGCCGCUACGGACUCUCGGCGCACGUUCUCUCCGAGAGCACCCCAUCGGACACCUCCUCCAAUUCUGAUUGGGGCCGCGACGACUUCACUGUCCUCUCUUGGAUAUAUGGCUCAAUCUCUCUCGAGCUCUUCGGCACCAUCAUGAAGCCCGGCUCCACGGCGAAGCAGAUUUGGGAUGCCAUAGCCAACCUCUUCCGCGACAACAAGAAGAGCCGUGCCCUAGCUGUCGAUGCUGAAUUCCACAAUAGUGCUCAAGGGGACAUGACGAUCUCCGACUAUUGUGCAAAUCUCAAGUCUCUCUCCGAUGCUCUCGAUGAUGUUGGUCAGCCGGUCACCGACGACACUCUCGUGCUUACCUUGCUUCGUGGACUCAACGAGCAGUAUUCCCAUCUACGCUCGUUCCUGCCGUUCCAAGUGUCAUUCCCGUCCUUCCUUCAAACUCGCUCUGCCCUCAUUCUUGAAGAAGCCCAGAAGAAAACCGACGCCAAGAAUUCUGCCGCCACCGCCUUGUGGGCCAGUGGCAACAGCGUCCUUCCCAACUCCGGUGGCAAACGCGCUCCACCUCCCAGUGAUGGACGCAACUUCUCCAAUGAUCGCCGCGGCUCCCCAUCCUUCUCUGUUGGAUGUGGGGGAAGCAACACCAGCAGCCGUGGCCCCGGCCGGGGCGGCCGAGGCCGCCAUGACACUCCCUGGAUGUACAACCCUUGGACCGGCCAGCCUACUCGCCUUCAUCUUCUAUAG
rnacentral:rRNA from 1 species